UAUGUGAUCGUCUCUCGCAUAUCAAUAAGCGGAGGAAAAGAAACUAACAAGGAUUCCCCUAGUAACGGCGAGUGAAGCGGGAAGAGCUCAAAUUUGAAAUCUUAAAGGGUUUCCCUUUACGAAUUGUAGUUUAAAGAAGUGUUUUCUGUUGAGGUUUUGGUAAAAGUUCUUUGGAAUAGGACAUCAUAGAGGGUGAGAAUCCCGUAUUUGACCUUUACUUUCAACUUUGUGAUACACUUUCAAAGAGUCGGAUUGUUUGGGAAUGCAGUCCAAAAUGGGUGGUAAAUUUCAUCUAAAGCUAAAUAUUGGCGAGAGACCGAUAGCGAACAAGUACCGUGAGGGAAAGAUGAAAAGAACUUUGAAAAGAGAGUUAAACAGUACGUGAAAUUGUCAAAAGGGAAGCGUUUGACCCCAGUGUUGUUUUUCUGAAAAUCAAUUAAAGAACUGUUUAUGCUAAGCUGUUUAGACUUUAUCAGCUAUCUGUUUAGUUUUGAGCUUUUCUUUAAUGCACUUUUCAGUUAACAAGUCAACAUCAAUUUCUUUUGCUGUAGAAAAGCUUGAGGAAGGUGGCUUGAGAUUCGUCUUAAGUGUUUAUAGCCUCUUGCCUAUGCAGUCGGAGAGAUUGAGGUCUGCAGCGUAGAUCCUUCGGGGCUAAAUGCAUUUGUGCUAAGUUAUAGCAUUUUAUAGACAACUUGUUGACUAUGAUUUGUCUUGUAGCUUACUCGCUUAUGUUAUUUUACCUACGCUUAGGAUGUUGAUCUACAGAGCGAGAGU
rnacentral:rRNA from 1 species